UCCCUGGAGGACUUAGUGGUUAAGCAAUGGUGCUUUCACCCCCGCAGCCCGGGUUCGAUUCCUGGCCAGGGAA